rnacentral:lncRNA from 1 species
CUGCGCGGUGUGGUUGCGCACAGGUGUGGACCCCGCUGGUCACGUGACGCCGCGCGGCCAGGGGAGCGGUUGCCCUGUCCUGAGGGCUUUGCUGUCCUGAGGGCUUUGCUGUCCUGAGGGCUUUCCUGCCCUGCAAAAGUGCGGGCUCAGACCCCCUCUUCCUUGGGUAGUGCGCUGGAGCCCGAAUAGAUUUUCAUAAGAAAGUACCAUUUGGGGCUUGGGGAGGUGUAAAACUCGCCUAAUUCCUUUUCUUAAGAAAACCUACCCCCUCAGCUUUGUGAGACUUCUGGUGAUGUUUAAAUCAGGAUUUUAGAAGGGAUUUUAGGAGGUAUGUCUGCAACCAGUGUCUACAUUCAAAUGACAAAGGCAGGGAUCGAACUCGGGUCCUUGAGCUUGCGAGGCAGGCAGCGGAACCACUGAGCUAAAUCCCCGGCCCAUUUAUCUCUCUAUUCUUAUCAGGGGCAUGGAGAUGUUUGGGAGAGACAGGUGGGCUGCAGAGCUUUGGGAUCAAAGUGACAGACGGU